rnacentral:lncRNA from 1 species
AGGGUGUGACAGAUGGCCACAAAGCGGUCAUGUGCCAUCACAGUUGGAAGCAUGUCAUUCAUGGAUCCGAAAAGGAUAAAAAGGGACAUCUGUGUCAGGCAGUCUGCAUGGAAGAUGGCCCUGCUGUGAGUUAAGAUGUCACAAUCAUCUUUGGGACCAUGAUGGAGAUGAAACAGAUGUCAGCUGAGGACAGGUUGGAGAGGAAGAAGCACAUAGGGGUGCAGAGGUGGGAGUCAGAGCUGACAGCGAAGAUGAUGAGCAGGUUCCCAAGCACUGUGACCAGGCAAGGCUCCUGCAGGUGCAGAAACUGAAUUUCUAGAAUUCUGAAUAUGCUGGAGAUACCUGGCCCAGAAAAAGAUGGGUGAGAAUCACAAGCUUGAGAUCAGGUUAUUCUAUCAGUGGCUGACCUAUCCUCUCAGGUGUAAAGAGGGAAAAGUCCACCUAUACCUCACACCCAUGUUCAUUCUUUUUAGUAUGGUAUCAAAUUGAUUGUAGGAAAAGAGAAAUAAAUGAACAAUUUUUGAACCUUUACUUUGACUUUUGAUUCCAACCUUUCCCAUCAUAAUUAAGGUCAAUACAAAAUCAUGUUUGGAAUUUUGCAAUAAAUGACCUCUAAAUGUUUCUACUGAGUGCCCUGAGGUAGGAAGAAGACUUGCAGAAAGUCAGGCUUACAUGGAGGAGUAAGGUA